AUCCUCACUUCAGCAGCACAUAUACUAAAAUUGAAAUAAAAGAGAGAAGUUUAGCAUGGCCCCUGUGCAAGGAUGACACACAAAUUCAUAAAGUGUUCCACUCAGAU